rnacentral:rRNA from 1 species
AUAAACGCUGGCGGCGUGCCUAACACAUGCAAGUCGAACGCUCUUCGCAAGAAGAGAGUGGCGGACGGGUGAGAAACACGUGGGUAUCUGCCUUGAGGUGAGGAAUACCAGCGAGAAAUCGCUGACAAUGCCGCAUACGUUUCGCAAGAAACAAAGUCGUAAGACGCCACAAGAUGAGCCUGCGUCCGAUUAGCCAGUUGGUGGGGUAAUGGCCUACCAAGCAACGAUCGGUAGCUGGUCUGAGAGGACGAUCAGCCACACUGGGAUUGAGAACGGCCCAGACUCCUACGGGGGGCAGCAGUGAGGAAUUUUCGUCAAUGGGGGCAACCCUGAACGAGCAACGCCGCGUGCAGGAAGAAGGUCUUCGGAUCGUAAACUGCUUUUCUGUGGGACGAGAACGGACGGUACCACAGGAAGAAGCCCCGGCUAACUACGUGCCAGCAGCCGCGGUAAUACGUAGGGGGCAAGCGUUGUCCGGAUUUAUUGGGCGUAAAGCGCACGCAGGCGGUUGCGUAAGUUUGGAGUGACAGUGCCCGGCUUAACCAGGCAAGGCCUCUGAAAACUGCGGAACUUGAGGACCAGAGAGGGACAUAGAAUUCCGGGUGGAGUGGUGAAAUGCGUAGAUAUCCGGAGGAAUACCAAAGGCGAAGGCAGUGUCCUGGCUGGUAACUGACGCUGAGGUGCGAAGCUAGGGGAGCGAACGGGAUUAGAUACCCUGGUAGUCCUAGCCGCUAAACGAUGACCACUAGAUGUGCGGAGUAUCGACCCUCUGCGUGUCGGAGUUAACACACUAAGUGGUCCGCCUGGGGAGUACGGUCGCAAGAUUAAAACUCAAAGGAAUUGACGGGGACCCGCACAAGCAGCGGAGCGUGUGGUUUAAUUCGAUGCGACGCGAAGAACCUUACCAUGGCUAGAAUGGCCUCCGGACCAUCCGUAGAGAGAUCAGACUUCCUCGGGACUAGCGAGUUCAAGGUGCUGCAUGGCUGUCGUCAGCUCGUGUCGUGAGGAUGUUGGGUUAAGUCCCGCAACGAGCGCAACCCUUAUCGUAGUUGCUACAGGUUCGCCGAGCCUCUAUUGACUGCCGUUGAUCAAACGGAGGAAGGUGGGGAUGACGUCAAGUCCGCAUGGCCUUUACAUGUCCAGGGCGACACACACGUGCUACAAUGGCCGGUAACAAAGCGCUGCGAAACUCGCGAGAGGGAGCCAAUCUCGCAAACCGAUCUCAGUUCGGAUUGAGGCUGCAACUCGACUGCAUGAAGCUGGAGUCUGCUAGUAAUCGCAGGAUCAGCACACUACGGUGAAUACGUUCCCGGGUCUUGUACACACCGCCCGUCACAUCACGAAAGUGGGUUGCAACCUAGAAGUCGUCGCGGCCAACCGCAAGGAGGCAGGACGUCCGACGGGUAGGGAUCGGUGAUUGGGGUG